CACGGCCGAUUGCAACAUCAAGCUAUAAAGUAAUGACAACUGUGUGUGUGCCGACUGACGUACGAACAACUGGCAAGUGGGGAGCCAGAGGAAAAUUAUAUUGCUGCUUCACAGUAAAGGUCUCGCACAACAAAGUGGGGACAGUUAAAUUGCAUUAAUUUUGCAAGAGAAAAAAACGCAUCAAGGGCAACUCCACUUUUCCUCACAAACCUGCUCUCCGUCCUUUAAUGAAACGAAGCUGACCGAGCUGAAUUGCGGUCCGGAGCCAGCGCUGUCGCACAGGGCAACCAGCGGCCUCUUCUUGGCCAGGUGACCUUCGUGGGGGAGGCGGGGCUCCGGUGACGGCAGCAGACGGAGGGUGCGAACCACCCCCUGUCGCCAGGCAAGCACCUCUGUCGCCUCCCCCGAGCUCGGCACCAGCCACACCUGCACUCCGACAGCAUAGCCGAGCACCAGCAGCAGCGGGGGACCUCCGACCCCAACCUCUCCCAAGAGGUGAGGGUCGUUGGCGUCCAUGGUCUCAAAACGGGCCCACAGGAUGGCAUCUUUCCCAUCGACCAGCUGUCCAGUCAUGUACCCCUGCAAAGAGACCACGGAAAGGGUUAACAAAGGUUGAGAAUUAAUUAAUUAUAAUUGAAAUUCCUGACUGACGUUUAGUUUCUUAUUGAUCGUGGUUUAGAAAUUUUAUUAAUAGGUGAAAAUGUGAAUUACCAAAUAAAUAAAUUAGAACUGAUACAA